AACGAACGCUGGCGGCGCGUCUUAAGCAUGCAAGUCGAACGGCAAGAGAGGAGCUUGCUUCUCUCCUAGAGUGGCGGACUGGUGAGGAACACGUGGGUAAUCUACCCUUAAGAUGGGGAUAGCUGCUAGAAAUAGCAGGUAAUACCGAAUACACUCGGCAUAUCACAAGAGGUGUUGAGGAAAGGAAGCUACGGCUUCGCUUGAGGAUGAGCUUGCGUCCCAUUAGCUAGUUGGUGAGGUAAAGGCCCACCAAGGCGACGAUGGGUAUCCGGCCUGAGAGGGUGAACGGACACAUUGGGACUGAGAUACGGCCCAAACUCCUACGGGAGGCAGCAGCUAAGAAUAUUCCGCAAUGGACGGAAGUCUGACGGAGCGACGCCGCGUGGAUGAAGAAGGCUGAAAAGUUGUAAAAUCCUUUUGUUGAUGAAGAAUAAGGGUGAGAGGGAAUGCUCAUCCGAUGACGGUAAUCGACGAAUAAGCCCCGGCUAAUUACGUG
rnacentral:rRNA from 1 species